AUGUAGAAUCAUCAGUCUAUUACGAAUCGUCGGCGGGUACGCGGUCGGAUACGGAUACUGACGUCAUCUUUGAACAUUUGUAUGCUGCUGCUCCCACUCUUUCUCUCUCUCUCUUACUGUGAUUUUUCCAAAUAUUGUUGUGAAUCUGAUGAAAUAAUGUGUAGUUGAAAAAUACUCGAUUCGACUGAAUAUUGUCAUUGUGUUGGUCAUAACAGAAUAUUGCUAUUAAUCUACGACGAUGACAGACGAUAGCCCGCCAAGAAGCCGACCUCCGUACAAAAAACGCAGCUCUUCGAUAUCUGCUCCGGUAUGCUCAAGUCUGGAGACCAUUGUGAGUCCACCACCGGAUUCCGGAACACCGGAGAAUUCUAGCUACAAACGGCGCAGACCAGCCACAAGAUCGCAAAGCGCUCGUAUGACCGGACCAAGAUCAGUAAGACGGAAACCGCAACCACCACCUGUUGCACUUCAGGACUCGAAGAGCCAUUGCACCAGUGAACCUAAGCUCAAUGAUUAUGAAACACCACCACCUCAAAAACGUUGUGGUUCGCAAAGAAGAGCACCGCCAACUACGGUUACGAAAAAAUCUAAUAGACCCUUCUUAGAUGUACCACAAUUGAACAUGCAACAUUUACAAAUAGACGACCAAGAUGAUGCUGACAACUACCGACUCAGAACGUUCAGUUCUUCAAAGCAGGGUGUUGUCAAUCGAGGAGACUCGUUCAGGCGCCGGCGAUCGCGGAGCGGAAGUCUGGCGCCGGUUAGCCCAAUGUAUGCCCCAGAGGAGAUUCUACCUGCAAACAGUGUCCCAACUGAAUCGUUCCAAGUUGCCAUGAUCGGAUCUCCUGGCGUGGGAAAAGGAACGCUUUUAUCGCAGUUUCGAUCUUCCGAAUGUAUCAACGCUUACGACGCGCGAGAAAGUCCUGGUCAACAAAAUAUUUCAAUAAUUUUAAAUGGAGAGGAAUCGGAACUUAGAUUUUCUACUAAAACUGCUACUAUUGAUGAUAAGGAGGAUUUGGCAAAGAUGGAUGCUUUUUUAGUUGUUUAUUCCGUAGUCGACAAAGCAACUUUUAAUCAAGCCGAGCAAUUACUUAAUAUACUUCAUAACAUGGACCUUACUAGAACUCGCCCGACUAUUCUAGUAGCCAACAAAAUUGACUUGGCUCGAUCACGGACUGUUUCUUCACAAGAAACGAUUCUGAGAUAGCCUUCGAAAUUGGCGUCAGUUACUACCCUCGAGAAUCAUAUUUGUCUCGAGAUUGUUCCGUAAGACAACGGAUCAUCUGCGCAUCAACAAUCCUUUCGCGAAGGACAAGUGUGAAUAUAGAUGGAAAAUGUAUGGCCUGUACACACAAGAUAAAAUUCAUCGAGGUAUCAGUGGCCAUAAAUCAUAACGUUGACACGUUGCUGGCUGGAGUUUUGUCUCAAAUACGCCUGAAAAAGGUGCAUUGUGCUCUUCA
rnacentral:misc_RNA from 1 species